UCUUGGGCUGGAUCGGACCCAACUCUGUUUCCCGGCCCAACUGCACUGCCUUCUCCUUUAUCUCUCUUUUUUCCCGUUCGCUGCGAGCUGCGCCGCUGUAGAAACCCGCCGCCGCCGCCUGCCGCCUGAUGCAGUGCAGCCCCACCACCUCAGCUUCGGAACUUGCGGCGACCAUCCAUGACCAACAUCUGCGCUCCACGGGCUCCCUAUCCCCAGCCACUUCACUCGUGCCGCGCUCCGUGCUUGCCCCUCUAUCAAUGGAAGUAACCUUUCAGGCUUUGAGCUCUGUUUUCUUUAAGAUAAUGUGAGCUCAGUUAAAGUAGAUCCACGUCAGAAAGAGAGUCUUUUACCGUCACUAAGGAGUGCGCACCGAAGGAUAGGUGCAUCCUCAUUUCAGUAACUGGCCAAACUUCUAAUUUGGUCUAGACUGGCAAGCCACCUGCGAGCAUGAAACUGCAAGAUCCAUUUUGUUCUCAUCCAUGUUGCAAUGUCAACGCCAUCUCCAAAUGAAGGAUCCACAGGCAUCUUCCUGCAUAAAAGCUCAAGUAGCACCACUCCAUAGCUGUAGACAUCGCUCUUCUCAGUUAAUCUUGUAGAGUAUCCAU